UUUAUGGAGAGUUUGAUCCUGGCUCAGGAUGAACGCUGGCGGCGUGCCUAAUACAUGCAAGUCGAGCGAACGGACGAGAAGCUUGCUUCUCUGAUGUUAGCGGCGGACGGGUGAGUAACACGUGGAUAACCUACCUAUAAGACUGGGAUAACUUCGGGAAACCGGAGCUAAUACCGGAUAAUAUUUUGAACCGCAUGGUUCAAAAGUGAAAGACGGUCUUGCUGUCACUUAUAGAUGGAUCCGCGCUGCAUUAGCUAGUUGGUAAGGUAACGGCUUACCAAGGCAACGAUGCAUAGCCGACCUGAGAGGGUGAUCGGCCACACUGGAACUGAGACACGGUCCAGACUCCUACGGGAGGCAGCAGUAGGGAAUCUUCCGCAAUGGGCGAAAGCCUGACGGAGCAACGCCGCGUGAGUGAUGAAGGUCUUCGGAUCGUAAAACUCUGUUAUUAGGGAAGAACAUAUGUGUAAGUAACUGUGCACAUCUUGACGGUACCUAAUCAGAAAGCCACGGCUAACUACGUGCCAGCAGCCGCGGUAAUACGUAGGUGGCAAGCGUUAUCCGGAAUUAUUGGGCGUAAAGCGCGCGUAGGCGGUUUUUUAAGUCUGAUGUGAAAGCCCACGGCUCAACCGUGGAGGGUCAUUGGAAACUGGAAAACUUGAGUGCAGAAGAGGAAAGUGGAAUUCCAUGUGUAGCGGUGAAAUGCGCAGAGAUAUGGAGGAACACCAGUGGCGAAGGCGACUUUCUGGUCUGUAACUGACGCUGAUGUGCGAAAGCGUGGGGAUCAAACAGGAUUAGAUACCUGGUAGUCCACGCCGUAAACGAUGAGUGCUAAGUGUUAGGGGGUUUCCGCCCCUUAGUGCUGCAGCUAACGCAUUAAGCACUCCGCCUGGGGAGUACGACCGCAAGGUUGAAACUCAAAGGAAUUGACGGGGACCCGCACAAGCGGUGGAGCAUGUGGUUUAAUUCGAAGCAACGCGAAGAACCUUACCAAAUCUUGACAUCCUUUGACAACUCUAGAGAUAGAGCCUUCCCCUUCGGGGGACAAAGUGACAGGUGGUGCAUGGUUGUCGUCAGCUCGUGUCGUGAGAUGUUGGGUUAAGUCCCGCAACGAGCGCAACCCUUAAGCUUAGUUGCCAUCAUUAAGUUGGGCACUCUAAGUUGACUGCCGGUGACAAACCGGAGGAAGGUGGGGAUGACGUCAAAUCAUCAUGCCCCUUAUGAUUUGGGCUACACACGUGCUACAAUGGACAAUACAAAGGGCAGCGAAACCGCGAGGUCAAGCAAAUCCCAUAAAGUUGUUCUCAGUUCGGAUUGUAGUCUGCAACUCGACUACAUGAAGCUGGAAUCGCUAGUAAUCGUAGAUCAGCAUGCUACGGUGAAUACGUUCCCGGGUCUUGUACACACCGCCCGUCACACCACGAGAGUUUGUAACACCCGAAGCCGGUGGAGUAACCUUUUAGGAGCUAGCCGUCGAAGGUGGGACAAAUGAUUGGGGUGAAGUCGUAACAAGGUAGCCGUAUCGGAAGGUGCGGCUGGAUCACCUCCUUU
rnacentral:rRNA from 1 species